GGAUGAAAGAGGGUGGCACAAAUUCAAAUUAGGGUUUAGGGUUUUUUUUUUCUAUCUUUUGCUUCUUUCAAGUUCAAAUGCCCAAAAAUUGCAAUAUUCAGAUGAUGGAUUGGAUAUUUAUAGGAGUGCAGGAUAUUAUAAGAGAAUAGUACAAAAGGUAAAGAGCAUUAAAGAUAAAGGUUAUGUAGUCACAAGUUUUGAAGGGCUAAAGGGUAGAAGAUAGAACUAAAGGGGUGCCCUCAUUUCUUUGAAAUUUAGUUGUUUGUUUUUUCGAAACCAAAGCGUCUUCACCCUCCGAACCAUAUUUGUAACCCUUUGUAGCCGAACAUGUCGACUAAACAUCUGCAGUCUGCAAUAAAAAGUUUGUUUGUUUUUUAACGUCUGCAAAUUAAAACAUAAUCUGAUUUUUAAUUACCAAACAAACUACCAAAUCAUAAUCUGAUUUCUGAUUACCAAAACUUUUUUCUGAUUUCUUAAGUCAUUACUAAUGCCAAAAAUAAUAAUAAUAAUAAUAAUAAAUAAAUAAAUAAAAAUUUGAUCUUUGAUAUCUUAAGUCAUUAACAACACUGAUAAUCUAAUUUUUAGCAUAAACAAACAAUUAUCUAGCUUUAAAUAGACAUCAAACAUUUCAUAGCAAAAUUUAAUUUUGGAAAAGAAAAAAAAAAUUUGAAAACAUCCCAAAAUAAUCAGAUUAGCAUAAACAAACAUGAAAAAAAAAUCAUCUACCAAACAUCCCAUCAAACAAAUAAGAUUUUGAAAAAAAAAAAAAAAAAAAACCCGGUAUUCUAGGAAGCAGAAAUCAGAUGUGUUUCUUCAAAAAUCAAAAAAACAAUUGAUUUCAAAUCAGAUGGGGAAAAAGAGAAUGAAAGUGUUACCUGAAAAGAGAAGGAUAAGGAGAAGGAAAAUUGGUAGAACAGAAGGAAGACGUUGUGUGGAGAUGGGAGGAUUUUCAUUCGUAGAUGGUUGUGGAGGUCGGAGCUUCUGGUGCGUCCGGUGGUCGGUGCAUCUAGUGGACAGUGAUUUUGGUGAUCGAUCGGAGGGAGGACGACUGGUGGAGGAACGAUCGAUAAUGAGGAGAGGUAUGGAGGUGCUGAGAGGAAAGAGUUACAUGUUUUUUUUGCUAGGGUUAAAUGAGUUGUGAAGACCUUAUAAGACAUUGGUCACACAGUUCUGUUGAUUCUUCUCUAGUUUUCUCUUUACUGUGAUUAGGGUUUGUUCAUACAGUUGUAUUGAUUCUUCUCCUAGUGGUUAUUGAUUGUUUUUAUUGAGUCUUAUUUGAUAUAGUGUGAGUGAAUCUUGUAGUGAGGUUUCAAAUAUACAUGUUUUAUUACGUAUUAAUAAAAGUGAGUUUUAUGAGCUUAA